GUCUACGGCCAUACCACCCUGAACGCGCCCGAUCUCGGAAGCAAAGCAGGGUCGGGCCUGGUUAGUACUUGGAUGGGAGACCUCCUGGGAAUACCGGGUGCCGUAGGCU
rnacentral:rRNA from 1 species